GUGCUUGCUUCAACAGCACAUAUACAAAAACUGGAGUGAUACAGAGAACAUUAGCAUGCCCCUGCCCAAGGAUGGGUAGUAUUUGGCAGCAAAUAUUUAUUUGU
ensembl:snRNA U6 U6 spliceosomal RNA